AGCUACAGUGUAACUAGUUAUAAUAAUAAAUAACUCUUUUAAAAAAAAAAAGUUACUAUUUCUCCCUGGCAGUAGAGGGCAAUAUGCCUUUAAUUCCAGCAUUUAGAAUAUUUCUGAAUAUUUUUUUUAAUUUUUAUUUUUUUUACUACUAAAAUCCAGUUUGGAAAGCUAGUGUCCAUUACCCACUUUCUACUCUCAAGUUCUCUGAGCUGCCUUGGCUGUGUCUCCUUCCAGGGACACCUUCUGCUGUGUCCAGCUGAUGUGAUGGUCAGCAGAACUUUGUGGCCCUGGAAGCGAUGACUGCUUAGCCACCAUGAAACUAGCUGAGCAACCCAGGACUGCGUGAAGAGACCAGCAGUCCCGAGAGACUGCUCUCAGUGUCGAGGCCCUCCCAUGCAAAGCCUUUCCAGAGUUAUGAAGGAAGCCAUGGGACCAGCAGCAGACCUAAAACAAGGAAGCCUGACAGCUCUGCUGGGGACAAGGCUGGGUUUGCUUCUGCUGAGAAGGAACCCCUGGACAGGCUUCCCACUGCAUUCAUUAUAGCCCUGGGAAGCCUGAGCUGUUGUUAUUUUAAACAUCCAUGGGCAAUUUACUAGAACCGGAAGAUUGUGUUUCCAAAACAUAGGGAGUGAGCAGUUUUCACCAAGGAGCAUCGUUUAAAACUCUGUGUAUCCCCUCAUCCCCACUCUGGGUACCAGCCAGGACGCAGGUGUGAGAGCCCCUGGAAGAGAGAGAGAGAGACCCCAAGAGUAUGUGAGAACCUGACCCUCCCCAGAGAUAGAAAAGAAUGCCUACAGACAUGGAAACCUAUUUUAUCUAAGGGUGGGGUGGGGUGAGAGUUUAAUUAGAAUUUCUCUGCAUGGGAGAUUAAUACUUCUCUCAGAAACCAUUAACUAUCGAACAAAAACUAGUCAAAACCAAGCAUGAGACACCUUCCUUCAAGUUAUUGGGGGGGGGGGAGCCCUCCCAUGUUGGUUUGAACAAGAGUGGAUUUCCAACACCUCGCCUGCCUGCCUGCCUGCCUGCUGCCUGCUGCCUGCUGCCUGCUGCCUGCCGCCGUGCUCCCUGCCUUAAUCACCAUGCACUCUAACUUUCAGUUGCUUCACUGUGUAAGCUGCCUUGGAUGUGGUGUCUCUUCACAGCAACAGACGACUUAGUUGCCGACUGGAAUGUGGGGCUAAGACCCUUUUGCUGGUGACACCAUGCACUCUGGUCACAGGACUUAGAGAAAUCAAGCUGGUACUGGCUGGAAGCUUCUUGAUUGCCAGUUUCCAUAGUGUUGCAAGGUGCUAGGGAGGCUCCAGUAACUACUCCCCAGGGAGGUACACCCAGUGGAACCGUACAGUAAGGGCGUGAACGUCUGGAGGGAUAACCUACAGCUAUCUAACUGGAUUGAAAGCCUGCCUGAUAAGAAGGAUCUCACGGUAACCCUGUGCGGGAACCAGCGGCCCAGCGUUCAUAGGCCCUGGGGAGAACCUACUGCCAUCAGUUUGCUAAACGGAUUAACGGAUUAACGGGCUUCCAAACGCUGACUCUGCACCCUUAGCUUAGUGCUGCUCACACCCCUAUCAGAGAGCCUGCUUUGUAGAGUGGACAGAGGCUAACACAAAACCAUAGAUGACCCAAGUGCAGAGUAAGUGACUAGAGUGUUGGCCUUCACAUCCCUGCCCUACUGUCUUCCUCCAAGGCUCAGGGAAGCCCCAGAAGAGACAGGGUUGUAGGAGCCAGAAGUCGGGGGGGGGGGGGGGGGCGGGGGCAGCUGUGGAGCUGUGUAUUCUGGACACAACAGUUGUGGCUGCUACACAAGACCAUUCUAGCCAGUGUUCCAGGAUGGGUGCAUGGCUCACAAAGGCCUACUUCUAGGUGAAAAGUUCGACACUCAACAGUUGCUGGAAGAAGCCUUUGGUUGGGUUUUUUGGGUUGUUUUUUUUUUUUUUUUUUUAAGAUUGAUUUAUUAUUAUAUCUAAGUACACUGUAGCUCUCUUCAGAUGCACCAGAAGAGGGCGUCAGAUCUCAUUAAGGAUGGUUGUGGUUGCUGAGAUUUGAACUCGGGACCUUCGGAAGAACAGUCGGUGCUUUUAACCACUGAGCCGUCUCUCCAGCCCCGGUUUGGGUUUUUUGAGAUGGGGUUUCUCUGUGUGGUCUUGACUGUCCUGGAACUUGCUUUGUAGCCCAAACUGACCUCGUGUCAUGAUCCUCCUGCCUCAGAUUCAGAGUGCUAAGAUUACUGGUGUGUGCUACUAUGUGUCAAAUUUGAUAAAAUUUCAUGUGGAAGAACAAGCCCAGGUAGGAAGGACGCCUGCAAGGCAUUGACCGUGUUUUCCGGGGAAGCAAAGGCGAGUGAGCCAGGCCUGCUCUCCCCGCCUGUGCACACUGUGCCUUUCCCCAUGAGCCAAGGGUAGAGUGUACAGGGACAGCCAAGGUCUCCCCAGAGAAGCAGAGGCACCUCUGACAGGGAUUGUGACUAAAGGAUUCUAAACCUUGGAAACCAGCCCAGCACAGGUCAUCCACCGCCGAGACUCUUCACUCUUUCCUGUAGGGGCCUCCCCGAUAAGUCCAGUCCCCAUUGACUCGGAUCAGUUCUAAAACCUUCCAGAAAUAUGUGGCCAGCUCUUUCUUAAUAUUUAGAUGUUUUCCCUGUGCCUUUUCUGUUUUAAAUUUUCUCACUCCCUGGCCAUCUUGGUCGCUUCUCUUCUGGAAGUUGUCCUGCGCCUAAGGCAAGGCCAUGGUGGCUGCGGAGGAGACAGCAUCUGAGGUGUCAGUCACCUCUCAACUCCAAGUUGUUGUGAAAGUGCAAAGGGCCCAGCCUAGUGGAUCAGCAGAUAGGCACCUGCUGCCAAUCCUGACAGUCCACACACGCAUGAAACAAACUAUGUAUGUUUUAGAAAGAUAAGUCAAAAGUGUACAUGGGUACUACGUGUGCUGGUGCAAGCUGACUCUGAAGGCGAGCAGACAGGACAGAGUGAAGUUGUUUAUCCUCACGAGGGGCCCAACGCUGAAGAGAUCUGAAUGGAAUACCAUGCUACAUUGGUCAGAACCAGCGCCUGCCAGUACGGCGGCAGGCAGCACGGCUGAACUGGGGCAAGCAUGCAGGAGUGCUGAGUGCUCAGGUUGUCGCCGAGCGUGACAUUAAUCAGCUGAGAGAACAGUUAAUCCCAGAACUGAGGCAGAAGGAUCACAAACUCUAGGCCAGGCUGGCUACUGUUCUCAAGAAAAACAAAACUGUGUUAAAAACUAAAACACUUUGUAAUUUGAGCCUUCAGUUCAAGCACCCUGUCUCCUGUUUUCUUACCAGGGUUGAAACAACCCUCGUAAUAUCCAAAAAUAUUUAUGGAUACCUAAAUGUUCUCUCUGGACUCUGAGUUCAAGGUCUGCCUGGGCGACGUUUUGAGUUCCAGGCCAGCUAUGGCAGCACAGUAAGACCCUGGCUCAAAACAGAAAGGAGUGAAAAAAGACGACAUGACGUUUGCCGAGCAAGCCUGGGUGGCCUGACCUCGGGAUGCAGAACCCGCGUGAGGUUGGGAGGAGAGAACCGAAUCAGUUGACCUUUAACCUCUAUGCACAUCAUAGCACAUGCUCACAUCCGUGUACACAGGAUAAAUUAAAAUUCAGGGCCAGCACAGUGGCUCAGCGGGUGAAGGCACUCGCCACCAAACCUGACAGUGAGUUGGAUCCCUAGGACCCAUAGCGAAAGGAGAGAGCCAGCUCUCAUGCUGCCCUCGCUCGGGGCUGCGAGGGUUUGCCCCACCACAGCAUAGACACAGAAUAAAGAGAUCUCCUAAAAAAUUACAGGUAAGGAAUUGGCCAGGCAUAAUUGCACAUGCCUGUAGCUCCCAUACUUCGGGGGCAGAGACAGGAAGAUUAUCAAUUGUACAUUGACUUAAACUACAUAGGUUUUUU
rnacentral:lncRNA from 1 species